UCCCUGAAGUAUUAGUGGUCAGGCCACAGCGCUCUCACUGCUGUGGCCCAGGUUCGAUUCCUGGCCAGGGGA